UCUCAUGGGUGAGCAAAGGAAGCGAUUUCUUAAGAUGGAAUCUCCUCCUGGUGAAGAUGCUGUGAA
rnacentral:pre_miRNA from 1 species